AUCAGCAAAUCAAAGGUCAGAGCUGCCUUCUCCCUAGCAAUUGCUGCUCCUCCAAAGGAGCUUUUUCUUCUCCACCAUGGCAAUGUGUCUUUUAACUCUUCCACGCCCUCGGAACCCACAUCAGUUAUUGCUGUACCUCUGCCCCUGGAGACUAGACUGGGAGAUCUCGUGCCUACAGAAGUGCCAGUUUGACAGGCAGGACCUUUCUGCUACAAGGAGCAGACAUGAGCCAUAGCUAAUGCAUGAGGAAGCGGAACGUCUUUGGAGGACACGGGAUAAUCAUAGAAUCAAGGACAAAAUAAGGAAGAAAAGAGGAAACCCAAUAGUCAAGAUCUGAGCCACUGGGCUAAUGAGAUGGCUCAGUGUGUUAAGGUGCCUGCCGCCAAGCCUGAAGACCUGAGUUCAAUUCCCAAGCCUUACAUGGCAGAAGGAGAGAACCGAUUCCAGCAAGCUGUCUUGUGACCUCCACAAGUGUAGUAUGGCAUUAAAAAAUACAUAAACAAUAUAAUAAAUCAUAAUAAAUAAUAAAU